rnacentral:rRNA from 1 species
CAAUAGCGUAUAUUAAAGUUGUUGCGGUUAAAAAGCUCGUAGUUGGAUUUCUGCCGAGGACGACCGGUCCGCCCUCUGGGUGUGUAUCUGGUUUGGCCUGGGCAUCUUCUUGGAGAACGUAGCUGCACUUGACUGUGUGGUGCGGUGUCCAGGACUUUUACUUUGAGGAAAUUAGAGUGUUUCAAGCAGGCACACGCCUUGAAUACAUUAGCAUGGAAUAAUAAGAUAGGACCUCGGUUCUAUUUUGUUGGUUUCUAGAGCUGAGGUAAUGAUUAAUAGGGAUAGUUGGGGGCAUUCGUAUUUAACUGUCAGAGGUGAAAUUCUUGGAUUUGUUAAAGACGGACUACUGCGAAAACAUUUGCCAAGGAUGUUUUCAUUG